rnacentral:misc_RNA from 1 species
UUAAGUUCAGCGGGUAGUCCUACCUGAUUUGAGAUCAAACUUCAAAAAGGUGUCCUCGCUGAGAGAGACAUUUAUAAGCUCCAGCGAACCUUCAUCACUGAAGGUUGCAUGGCAGGAACCCACAAGCGUAGAUAGUUAUCACACCCGUGAAUGCCACCAAAACACUGGCAAGCUGAUUCGUUUGAGGAGAGCCGACCAUA